rnacentral:misc_RNA from 1 species
UCCGAGUUGACCCCGGCAGUCUCCUAUGAGUCCCCACCAUUACGUGCUGGCAACAUAGAACGAGGGUUGCGCUCGUUGCGGGACUUAACCCAACAUCUCACGACACGAGCUGACGACAGCCAUGCAGCACCUGUGUGCAGGUUCUCUUUCGAGCACUCCCUGAUCUCUCAGGGAUUCCUGCCAUGUCAAGGGUAGGUAAGGUUUUUCGCGUUGCAUCGAAUUAAUCCACAUCAUCCACCGCUUGUGCGGGUCCCCGUCAAUUCCUUUGAGUUUUAGCCUUGCGGCCGUACUCCCCAGGCGGGGCACUUAAUGCGUUAGCUACGGCACAGAACCCAAAACGGACCCCACACCUAGCGCCCACCGUUUACAGCAUGGACUAC